rnacentral:rRNA from 1 species
GGAUGAACGCUGGCGGCGUGCCUAAUACAUGCAAGUCGAGCGAACAGACGAGGAGCUUGCUCCUCUGACGUUAGCGGCGGACGGGUGAGUAACACGUGGAUAACCUACCUAUAAGACUGGGAUAACUUCGGGAAACCGGAGCUAAUACCGGAUAAUAUAUUGAACCGCAUGGUUCAAUAGUGAAAGACGGUUUUGCUGUCACUUAUAGAUGGAUCCGCGCCGCAUUAGCUAGUUGGUAAGGUAACGGCUUACCAAGGCAACGAUGCGUAGCCGACCUGAGAGGGUGAUCGGCCACACUGGAACUGAGACACGGUCCAGACUCCUACGGGAGGCAGCAGUAGGGAAUCUUCCGCAAUGGGCGAAAGCCUGACGGAGCAACGCCGCGUGAGUGAUGAAGGUCUUCGGAUCGUAAAACUCUGUUAUUAGGGAAGAACAAAUGUGUAAGAAACUAUGCACGUCUUGACGGUACCUAAUCAGAAAGCCACGGCUAACUACGUG